rnacentral:rRNA from 1 species
CCCUUAGAUGUUCUGGGCCGCACGCGCGCUACACUGACGAAUGCAACGAGCUUAUAACCUUGGCCGAAAGGUCUGGGUAAUCUCCAAAUUUCGUCGUGCUGGGGAUAGAUUAUUGCAAUUAUUAAUCUUCAACGAGGAAUGCCUAGUAAGCGCAAGUCAUCAGCUUGCGUUGAUUACGUCCCUGCCCUUUGUACACACCGCCCGUCGCUCCUACCGAUUGAAUGGUCCGGUGAAGCGUUCGGACCGUGGCCUUUGGACGGUUCGCCGUCUGUUGGCUGCGGGAAGUUCGUUAAACCUUAUCAUUUAGAGGAAGGAGAAGUCGUAACA